UUGACCGCUAGCACAAUUAGGCAGUUGCGCCGGAAUCUGACUCCGGAGGUUCCAGGUUCGAUUCCUGGGUGGUCAGCGUU
rnacentral:tRNA from 1 species